rnacentral:rRNA from 1 species
UACGUAGGGUGCGAGCGUUAAUCGGAAUUACUGGGCGUAAAGCGUGCGCAGGCGGUUUGCUAAGACCGAUGUGAAAUCCCCGGGCUCAACCUGGGAACUGCAUUGGUGACUGGCAGGCUAGAGUAUGGCAGAGGGGGGUAGAAUUCCACGUGUAGCAGUGAAAUGCGUAGAGAUGUGGAGGAAUACCGAUGGCGAAGGCAGCCCCCUAGGCCAAUACUGACGCUCAUGCACGAAAGCGUGGGGAGCAAACAGG